rnacentral:rRNA from 1 species
CCAAUAGCGUAUAUUAAAGUUGUUGCAGUUAAAAAGCUCGUAGUUGAACUUCGGGGUUUACCCAUUGGUCAGGCUUAAUUGUCUGUACUGGUGAGAUAAAUCUCUACCUUCUGAGGAACUUUCAUGUCAUUAAUUUGGUGUGAUUGGAAAUCAGGACUGUUACUUUGAAAAAAUUAGAGUGUUUAAAGCAGGCUAACGUCUGAAUACAUUAGCAUGGAAUAAUGAAAUAGGACGGACUGAUUCUAUUUCGUUGGUUUCUAGGAUCACCGUAAUGAUUAAUAGGGUUAGUUGGGGGCAUUAGUAUUCAAUUGUCAGAGGUGAAAGUCUUGGAUUUAUUGAAGACUAACUACUGCGAAAGCAUUUGCCAAGGAUGUUUUCAUUAAUCAAGAACGAAAGUUAGGGGAUCGAAGACGAUCAGAUACCGUCGUAGUCUUAACCAUAAACUAUGCCGACUAGGGAUCGGACGAAGUUAAUUUUAUAAUGACGCGUUCGGCACCUUACG